AUGGCGGUGUCGUCUCCCGCUCCGGAGCCGACGAGGAGGAGCAACAAGUGGCGCCGCGGCAACAGAAAGGUGAUCAACGGGUACAUCGGCGAAGCGCGGGCGGCUCUGGCGGCCGCGGCGGCGCGGGACGGCGACGGCGGGGAUGACUCGGCGGCCGCGGCCGCGCUCGGGCUGGUCGGCGCGGUGCUGGAGAUGUCGCCGCGCAUGGAGGCCGCGCUCGAGCUCCGGGCGCGCGCGCUGCUCGCGCUCCGCCGGUACCGCGACGUCGCCGAGAUGCUCCGCGACUACAUUCCCAGCUGCGCCAAGUCCUGCGCCGGGGAUGACACGGCCACCUCCUCCUCCUCCUGCUCGUCCGGCUCCGGCGACCUCGCCUGCGCGUCUCGCGCGGGGCUUCUUUCCCCGGGCCGCGAGCUCUCCAUCUCCGGCGCCGGGGGCUCCCUGUUCCUCUGCUGCUUCGACGUGUCCGAGAUCAAGCGCCGCGUCGUCGCCGGCCUAUCCAAGAACUCCGACGCCGAGACCCAGUGGAGGUACUUGGUCCUGGGUCAGGCUUGCUUCCAUCUCGGCUUGAUGGAGGACGCCGUGGUGCUCCUCCAGACCGGCCGCCGCCUCGCCACGGCCGCGUUCCGCCGCGAGAGCGUGUGCUGGUCGGAGGACAGCUUCUCCCCGUCCAACUCGACGGCCAAUGUGCCUGCAGCCAGCAGAAGGGCGCCGUGCAAGUUCAGCCAGGCGUCCGGGAUGCCGCCGGCGAGCGAGGCGGACUCGGUGUCACAGCUGCUGGCGCACGUGAAGCUGCUGCUCCGCCGCCGCGCCGCCGCUGUGGCGGCGCUGGACGCCGGCCUCCCCGCCGAGGCCGUGCGCCAUUUCAACAAGGUGCUCGACGCGCGCCGCGGCGGCGUGCUCCCGCACUCCUUCGCCACGGCCUGCCUGGUGGGCCGCGCCGCGGCGUUCCGCGCGUCCGGGCGGCCGGCCGACGCCAUCGCCGACUGCAACCGCGCGCUGGCGCUCGACCCGGCGUUCAUCCCGGCGCUGCGCGCGCGCGCCGACCUGCUCGAGUCCGUGGGCGCGAUCCCCGACAGCCUGCGCGACCUGGACCACCUGAAGCUGCUCUACGACGCGGCCCUCCGUGACGGGAAGCUGCCGGGGCCGAGCUGGCGGCCGCAGGGCGGCGUCCGGCAGCGCGAGAUCGCCGGUGCGCACCGCGAGCUGGUGGCCCGCGUCCAGCAGCUCCGCGCCCGCGUGGCCGCCGGCGACGGGUGCAACGUGGACUACUACGCGCUCCUCGGGGUCCCGCGCGGCUGCGCGCGGUCGGAGGUGGUGCGCGCGCACCUCCUGCUGACGCUGAAGCUGAAGCCGGACCGGUCGGCGUCGUUCGCGGAGCGGCUGGAGCUGGUGGACGAGCACCGCGACCUGGACGCCGUGCGCGACCAGGCGCGCAUGUCGGCCCUGUUCCUCUACCGGAUGCUGCAGAAGGGGUACUCGCACAUCAUGUCCGCCGUGCUGGACGAGGAGGCCGCCGCGCGGCAGAGGGCCAGGGAGGACGCCGCCGCCGCCGCAUUGGCUGCCACCGUGGCCGCCGCCGCAGCGUCGGCGACCAAGCAAGCAGAAGAAGAAGCCGCAGCGUCAGCGGCCAUGCAAGAAGAAGAAGAAGAAGAAGCGGCAGCCGUGCCGGAGAGCCCCAAGCAGACAGAGCGUGUCAGCUGCGAGAACAUCCCGGUGCAAGUCGCGGAGCCGGAAACGAUCGCGCCGCCGUCACCGCCGACGCCGAGGCUGAGCGCGGCGGCGAUGAGCCCGAUGUUCCAGGGCGCGUUCUGCCGCGACAUGGCGGUGGUCGGGACGCUGCUGUCCCGCGGCCGGUUCGACCGGCCGCCCAUGGCGGUCAAGUGCGAGGCGAUGAGCUGCUGA
rnacentral:rRNA from 1 species